rnacentral:tRNA from 1 species
GGAUGAUGCAGUGGGAAGCAUACUGGAUUUGGGGCCAGAAGUUCUGGGUUCAAAUCCCAGAUCAGCCA